AGUGUAGCUCAGUUGGUAGAGCGCCGUGCUGAUAACGCGGAAGUCGUAGGUUCAAACCCUACCAUUU
rnacentral:tRNA from 1 species